GAUGAACGCUGGCGGCGUGCCUAAUACAUGCAAGUCGAGCGAACGGACGAGAAGCUUGCUUCUCUGAUGUUAGCGGCGGACGGGUGAGUAACACGUGGAUAACCUACCUAUAAGACUGGGAUAACUUCGGGAAACCGUAGCUAAUACCGGAUAAUAUUUUGAACCGCAUGGUUCAAAAGUGAAAGACGGUCUUGCUGUCACUUAUAGAUUGAUCCGCGCUUCAUUAGCUAGUUGGUAAGGUAACGGCUUACCAAGGCAACGAUGCAUAGCCGACCUGAGAGGGUGAUCGGCCACACUGGAACUGAGACACGGUCCAGACUCCUACGGGAGGCAGCAGUAGGGAAUCUUCCGCAAUGGGCGAAAGCAUGACGGAGCAACGCCGCGUGAGUGAUGAAGGUCUUCGGAUCGUAAAACUCUGUUAUUAGGGAAGAACAUAUGUGUAAGUAACUGUGCACAUCUUGACGGUACCUAAUCAGAAAGCAACGGCUAACUACGUG
rnacentral:rRNA from 1 species